GAGACAGAGUCUCACUCAGCUGCCCAGGCUGGAGUGUAGUGGCGCAAUCUCAGUUCACUGCAACCACCAUCUCCCGGAUUCAAGCAAUUCUCCCGUCUCAGCCUACCAAGUAGCUAGAAUUACAGGCACCUGCCAUCAUGCCUGGCUACUUUUUGUAUUUUAGUAGAGACAGGGUUUCACCAUGUUGGCCAGGCUUGUCUUGAACUCCUGACCUCAGGUGAUCCGCCCGCCUCAGCCUCCCAAAGUGCUAGGAUUACAGGCAUGAGCCACCGUGCCCGGCCAACAGUUUUCUUUAAACAAACCAAUCCCCCUCUUCCCAUCCUGUGAGGAGAAAAAAAAUACUUAAAUUUAAACAGAAGUGAAUAGGGAAGCAAACAGGCAGGAAAAGCAAUGUCAAAAAUAAACUGAAAACCAGUUAUCUAUCCACCACCACCCAAAAAAUCCCAACCAACAACCAGCGAGCAGAGUAACAGUUCAAGUCCUGAAGCAAUCGGAAUCAAAACGGAGGAGGUGAAAAACAUCUGGCCAGUUCCCGAUGUCAUUUCCAAGGUGUGUGGUGUUUCCUCCAUAAACAGGAUCCUAUCCCAGUGAUUUCCCCAGACUCCGUCCUCAAAAUACACUUUUCUGAACUUUCUAGAAAAAGUUGUCUCUGUAUCCACUUUGAGCCAAAAGUUUCAAGGACUUGGUUCUUAGAGGAUCAUAGAAAAAUAGCGAAGGAAGAAAAGAAAAAGCAAAACUAAGAUGAGGUCAGAAGAAGCAGAGCCGUGGAAAGGAAGGAGAAGUUUUGCUGAGAGUCCCCACAGCGUUGGGAGCUGUCCUACCUGAAGGGUCCCAGCGACAGAGGCGCUCUGAGUGGCAGGUGCUGGCAGCAGCCCUGGUCCGCUCUUCUGGAAGUAUGUGACCGCACU
rnacentral:lncRNA from 1 species